rnacentral:rRNA from 1 species
UACGUAGGGGGCAAGCGUUGUCCGGAUUUAUUGGGCGUAAAGAGCGUGUAGGCGGCCAGGUAGGUCCGUUGUGAAAACUGGAGGCUUAACCUCCAGCGGUCGAUGGAAACCAUCUGGCUAGAGUCCGGAAGAGGAGAGUGGAAUUCCUGGUGUAGCGGUGGAAAUGCGUAGAGAUGCGGAGGAACACCGAUGGCGAAGGGCAGCCCCCUGGGCUACACUGGACGCUCAGGCACGAAAGCGUGGGGAGCAAACGGAUGAG